rnacentral:rRNA from 1 species
UGGGGAAUAUUGCACAAUGGAGGGAACUCUGAUGCAGCGACGCCGCGUGAGUGAUGAAGGACUUCGUUUCGUAAAACUCUGUUCUAUGGGAAGAAAAGGACUGUACCAUAGGAGAAAGCUCCGGCUAAAUACGUGCCAGCAGCCGCGGUAAUACGUAUGGAGCGAGCGUUGUCCGGAAUUAUUGGGCGUAAAGGGUGCGCAGGCGGCUUUACAAGUUGGAUGUGAAAUAUUGUGGCUCAACCACAAACGUGCAUCCAAAACUGCAAAGCUUGAGUUAAGGAGAGGUAAGUGGAAUUCCGGGUGUAGCGGUGGAAUGCGUAGAUAUCAGGAGGAAUACCGGUGGCGAAGGCGACUUACUGGACUUAUACUGACGCUCAGGCACGAAAGCGUGGGGAGCAAACAGG